rnacentral:antisense_RNA from 1 species
CCCCUGCCUGGAGCCUCACACAUGACUUCUCUUAGUGACCACAGGUUGGUUGAGGGGUUUAACAAGGCUAAGAAGGUGAGACGUGGUCUUGUAACACAGUGGUUAAGAAUGUGACUUUGGAGCCAGCCUGCUAGGGGCUGAAUUCUGACUCAGCCAUUUAUUAACUGUGUGACCUUAGAUGGAGUCUCACUCUGUAGCCCAAGCUGGAGUGGCGUGAUCUCGACUCACUGCAACCUCCGCCUCCUGGGCUCAAGUGAUUCUCGUGCCUCAGCCUCCUGAGUAGCUGGGACUACAGCCAGAGACAGACUCCCAGACUUGGCCAGAGGCUGAUGCCGACCCCUUCCAGCUCUCACGGUAACCAUGAGGCCCCUGCGUGUUUCUGUUGUGGAGGUCCCAGAGGGAACUGUGUGGACGGACACAGCCUGAAGGGCCAUCUGCCCCAAGCCACAGCAGCACAGGAUUCUAAAGACUGCGGGGAAGGAUGGGGCCAAGGGGACCAGAUGUGCAGAGGUAAUGAAUACCAGGGAAUCAGGAAACCACUGGAUCAGUUCUUUGAGCCAUAGAACAACACUCAUCCCAGCAGCUGGGAAGCUAUCUGCAAAAGUCCAUCUGCAGAAAGGGCUUCCUGGUCUUGCGUGUGGCUGGGCCAUUUCUCUGGAUGCAGGUUUUUCAUUAUACAGUCUUCUCAAAGGACCACCUGCUCUCAACACCUUCUCGGUGACUCCAUUUCCCCUCCUCU